GCUCCACUACCAAAAGGAAGCCAAGCCCUGCCACCCUUUACAACAAAACAAGGUGUGAUCACAUUGAUGCCACAAUGGACGACUGAUCAAUGCUCCACUACCUUUUUUUUUUUUUUUUUACUUUGAUUUUUAUUAGGUUAUUUUAUCAUUGUGGACAUACAGUAAAGAAAAUAACAAACAGACAUACAAAUGGGUCUAUAAUUCUUGCAGUAUUCUUUGUUUUUUCCUUCUUUGGGUAAGAUUGUUAUAAUAGCUUCUCCCCAUGAUGGUGGAGCUAUUCCCUGAUUCAGAGUCCAGUUGAAGCAAGAUAGAAGAAGUGGCUUGAGUUCUUCUUUGAAAACUUUGUAACUUUGUAGGUGUGAUCACAUUGAUGCCACAAUGGACGACUGAUCAAUGCUCCACUACCUUUUUUUUUUUUUUUUUUACUUUGAUUUUUAUUAGGUUAUUUUAUCAUUGUGGACAUACAGUAAAGAAAAUAACAAACAGACAUACAUAUAAACAAACAGAGUCUGGAGUUUACAUAUCUUUCUCCAUUUAUCACAUUGCAGAAAAAAAAAGAAAACCUAUUAUGUUAUUUCAUUUGUGUCACUUCUGAAUGUUUUCCACUUCCUCCAUAGUCUGUCGUAUUUACCUCCCAUCAGUCUAAUGUUGAGUGUUAUUUUUUCCAUCUCUGAGAUAUCCUCUACAAUACUUGCAGUAUUCUUUGUUUUUUCCUUCUUUGGGUAAGAUUGUUAUAAUAGCUUCUCCCCAUGAUGGUGGAGCUAUUCCCUGA
ensembl:lncRNA